rnacentral:rRNA from 1 species
UACGUAGGGUGCAAGCGUUGUCCGGAAUUAUUGGGCGUAAAGAGCUCGUAGGCGGUCUGUCGCGUCGGAUGUGAAAACCCAGGGCUCAACCCUGGGCCUGCAUUCGAUACGGGCAGACUAGAGUGCGGUAGGGGAGAUUGGAAUUCCUGGUGUAGCGGUGGAAUGCGCAGAUAUCAGGAGGAACACCGAUGGCGAAGGCAGGUCUCUGGGCCGUAACUGACGCUGAGGAGCGAAAGCAUGGGGAGCGAACAGG